CGCUGGCGGCGUGCUUAACACAUGCAAGUCGAGCGGAAAGGCCCUCGGGGUACUCGAGCGGCGAACGGGUGAGUAACACGUGGGCAACCUGCCCCUAGCUCUGGGAUAACUCCUCGAAAGAGGGGCUAAUACCGGAUACGACCUCGGACGACAUCUUCUGAGGUGGAAAGUUUUUCGGCUAGGGAUGGGCCCGCGGCCUAUCAGCUUGUUGGUGAGGUAACGGCCCACCAAGGCGACGAUCAGUAGCCGACCUGAGAGGGUGAUCGGCCACAUUGGAACUGAGACACGGUCCAAACUCCUACGGGAGGCAGCAGUGGGGAAUAUUGCACAAUGGGCGAAAGCCUGAUGCAAGCAACGCCGCGUGAGUGAUGAAGGCCUUCGGGUCGUAAAACUCUGUCCUCAAGGAAGAUAAUGACGGUACUUGAGGAGGAAGCCCCGGCUAACUACGUGCCAGCAGCAGC
rnacentral:rRNA from 1 species